rnacentral:lncRNA from 1 species
AUACUCCUCAUAGUGGGAAAUCACACGUUCGACCAAACCGGACAAGGAUGAAUCGGAUUGAGGUUGUUGGGGUUGGGUUUUGGAUGCGUUGGUAAGUUCAUAGAGGUGCUGGUUGUGCUUGUUUUGCCAUUUGACGUAGAAUUCUUGAAAGUUAUUUUCUGAUGUGGCUUCCAUUUUGGUGUAGGAAAAUAAGUGAGCUGCUUGUGUUGGUAUUUAAGGUUUAUUUUAAGGGCAAAUGGAUUGAGAUUGAUGACAACGUUCGAGAUGGAUUCGAGUUUCAAGUCCCGAUGGUGGUCUGCCCAUGAGGUUAUUUCAGAACAUAUAUUGCUAUUAUUAGAUUUAAUUUUUAAAAUUUUUUUUUUCUGAGUAACUUUUGGGCAAGCGCUACUAUGACUUGUCUUCGAUAAGAAAUUGUAUACGCUGUGCUUAUUGGAUAUAUACUGAACAAACGUCUUACAAACUGUGCCGAAUAAUACUCCAUUACUAAAAAAAAAAAAAAAACUUUUACAUUACAUACUCUCUCGUCACUGAUGACUUUUUUUUGGGUAAGUUUUUGAUAAUUUGUCAUUGAUGACAUUAGUUUUCGGUAUAACAUACUAAAAAUAGUAUUAUUACCUAGGAAACAGGCAGUUAUUGGACACGGGGCCUUCUGUCGGAGAGAUCAGAAGAUGUUGCCAAAGUUGCCUUCCUCUUGUUAGUAAUACUGCAAUUCUUAUCAAUUUCUCC